AAGCCCUUUACUUUUGCAAAAAAAAGAAAAGAAAGAAAUCAACGUCACCCCUACGGACACCUUGAUCUUGGAUGGACCUCAGCCUCCGGAGCUGAGAGGAAGUCACCCAGUCUGUGGUAUGCUGUCCUGGCGGUCCUCCCGAACUAUUACAUGGCUAUACAAAUUCCGGGUGUAAGUCUUUGUGUGGACACGUGUUUUCAGCAAAUACCACAGGCCCGGGGCGGCUGGAUCCUCUGGUAUUGCGCCGACACCAACCCCCUACUCAGAGACCCUUAGACUGGGGUGCGUGGGCUGGUCCCCCGCACCGAGUGGCGCCCGAACAGGGACCUGAGUAGAAGGCAUUUCAAAGGUCCCUUUUGAAAGACCCCGCGGGCCAGGCCAUAUCGGCUCCCAAACGUGGGGCUUCGAGUACAGGGCCCGGAUGAACGUCGCUCCCAGAAAGUCGGCCGCAUUCCCAAGGAUCGCCACUUCCGUACAGGAGUGAGUGAAGACCCGCACCGAUCGCCACAGAGUCACCCGCCUGUGAGACAGAUCCUGAGAGUGGCGCCUCAGUUGACACGCCUUACCCCUGCUGAGUAUCUGGGGUGGAACAUACCUUCACCUCCUAAAUCAAUAUCAAAACGUGCCGUCUUCCUGCCCUUGCUAGCCGGCGUCUCUCUCACCUCUCCCUGGUCGCCGCUGGCCUGGCCGCUGGGGCCUUAGGACACUCUCCAUACUUCCUCCAAGCUCUCUCGCCAGCUUGCCGUGGCGGCUGAGGCCUCCGCUGAGUCCCUGGCCUCCUUGCAAGGACAGAUAACUUCGCUUGACCAAGUUGCCUUGCAGAACGGCCGUGUCCUGGACCUUCUUACCGCUGAAAAAGGAGGGACCUGCCUGUUCCUCAAGGAAGAGUGCUGCUCUACGUCAGUGAAUCUGGCCCGGUUAAAACACGAGUCCAGCAGCUACGCAAACUCAACGUUGAGCUACAGAGAAAGAAAUUUUCGGCCGCUGCCGAUGAUUGGUGGAGAUCCUCCAUGCUCUCACUCUUGGUGCCCCUUAUAGGACCCCUGAUUAGCCUUUUAUUGUUGAUUUCUUUGGGACCCUUUGUAUUUAACAGGAUUAUAAAAUUCAUAAAACAACAAAUUGACUCCCUGGCAUCAAAGCCUCUAGAAAUAUACUCUCAUAGACUUGAUCUGGCCGACACAGGCUUGGCAGAACCUGAGGAGGAAAAUAUUCCUACGGGAACUGCAUAGAGCUCAGAGAUAUGCACACCGGUGGGUGUUGGCACCAGACAAGGGGUGCGAGGCUGAGCACUGCAAGGGGAGACCUGUCGGUCCAUCUCUGAGUCCCCUGAGAGGCACACCCGAAUUGCAUAGAGGUUGGUGUCUUACCUAAAACUGCAGCCCUGCCUCUCCUCCCAAAAAAGGCACCAAGGGCUUCCACUUAAACCAAGGAGGGUUCGGGUCACUACCUCCCCCCUCUGGUUAAAGCCACUUGCCCUAGAGGCAAGAAAUCAAAAAGUCUCCUCCUAUCUUGCCAAUCGCCUCAUCUUAAAAAAAUAAAAAGGGAGGAGAUGCCGGGAGCCAAAGGCAGAGUUAAGGAACUCUGGUGGAAAGGUUACAGAAAGAUAAGCAACGAGAGUCAUAAAUAACUGUUGGUUCCAGGAACUAAGAUUACCAUCUGUCGACGUUGGAAAUUCCUUGGCCCUUUGUACUUGCCCUGCAGGAGCAUAUAAGCAGCCUCUAUAAUUAAAAAUGUUAGAGCUUCAUCAGA